rnacentral:tRNA from 1 species
GCUGGUGUAGCUCAAUAGGCAGAGCGGCUGAUUCGUAAUCAGCAGAUUGUGGGUUCAAGUCCCUCCGCCAGCUCCA